CCUCUCUUUGGGGGUCUGGGCUGUCGUCCUGCCCUGAAGGGAGAAUGAAGAACCAGCUACUUUACCUCAAAAGACCCCCUCAUUCAAAUAUUUCUGCCAAACAUCUGUUUCUUCCUGCCAGAUGGAGUUACUACCAUCCCUUCACCAACUGUGCGGACUCGGCAAGAGAAGGACCCGGUCGGGAGAUAAAGGCACCGGCCGAAUGGCCAACAGGUGAGCUGCUGGCACCCUGAGCUUCUGUCCUGCACCAACCUAAACAAUUACGACGUUUGAAAAUUUUUUCACUUUUUAAAUAACAAUAAUAAACAUUAGCUAAAAAUCCUAA